CCUACGGGGGGCAGCAGUGGGGAAUAUUGGACAAUGGGGGGAACCCUGAUCCAGCCAUGCCGCGUGUGUGAAGAAGGCCCUCGGGUUGUAAAGCACUUUCAGUGAGGAAGAACGCCUGGUGGUUAAUACCCAUCAGGAAAGACAUCACUCACAGAAGAAGCACCGGCUAACUCCGUGCCAGCAGCCGCGGUAAUACGGAGGGUGCGAGCGUUAAUCGGAAUUACUGGGCGUAAAGCGCGCGUAGGUGGCUUGAUAAGCCGGUUGUGAAAGCCCCGGGCUCAACCUGGGAACGGCAUCCGGAACUGUCAAGCUAGAGUGCAGGAGAGGAAGGUAGAAUUCCCGGUGCAGCGGUGAAAUGCGUAGAGAUCGGGAGGAAUACCAGUGGCGAAGGCGGCCUUCUGGACUGACACUGACACUGAGGUGCGAAAGCGUGGGUAGCAAACAGGAUUAGAUACCCUAGUAGUC
rnacentral:rRNA from 1 species